UGAAAUUUAAAAACAUUUCCUUUUUCAAUUAUUAUUAGGGGAAAGUGGGUGAAGUGGAUAAGUCGUCACUUAGAAAUAGGUGCAUCCAGAGACUAGGGACUAGGGUUCGAACCCCCUAGUGAGCAUUGUUGGUUAUUCAUACAUCCGCCAACCCGCUCUGGCGCCACUGUGGCGUCACAUGUAAAAUUAGGCUAUGUUCAUACAAUGUGGGAAGCGAUUAUGUAGCAUCAACUGUUUCAACAAAUUGCCACAACCAAGGCAGACCAUCGCCGGUACUGCUUGCAGACUGUUGCGUACGGGCAUACUUGGGGCAGUUUAAACUAUGGGUCCCUAGCAGGGGUUAAGGGAUUGUUGCACGUAAAAGAGUCUCUUGGGGUUGGGUUGAGAUUUCCUUACGUGUACCGCGCAUAGUUAGACUGUCAAAAAAUGUGGCAAGUAACAUCACGUUGAUGGUAUCAAGUCAUCUUCCACCACCGGGUCUAUCGGCCGACCCGUGAUGCCUAGUAGAGGCCGUGUGAGCAUACAUACAAAAUGACAAUACGAGACGCCGAGUUUUUUUGUUUUUAUUAUUUAUUCUGAUGCCACCAUAGUUGAAGCCACCAGUACUUAAUUUAACGUUUAAUCUAUGUAAAUGCGAUUUGAUUUCAUAUGAAAAUUGGUUGGGAUUUCCCUUUUCAUGUUGGUGGGAUUGAUUAUGUCCGUUAUGUCCUCGUGUCUUGCUUCCAGCAAGAUCUUUUUUAUUUGAAUUUUUACAAAAUUGGUGAAUCAAUUGAUUUCAAUGAUUUAAAUGUUGUUGAUUUAGUUUCUACAUUUCUUUCCUUUUUGUUGUCAGGAAAAUUCCCUCCACACCAUCCCCAAUCAAGUUUUUGAAGUAUCUCCAUAGUAUUUUUUUUUUCAUUAAUUGAAUGAUUCCCUCAAGACUUUUACUUAAAAUUUUCUAUGUUAUUCUAAGUUUUCUUAUUCACAUCUUCCCUCAAAAAAUUCCAGUUGUUCUAAUACUGGAACGAAUAACUUUUUUUCCUUUUUAGAUUUUCACAGUUUAUUCGGAACGAAGAAAAUAACUACAGCCAUCCGGCUAUGGUAGGAUGUUAACCUUGCAAGAAAGAGACGCCAGCGCCGGAAUUGCGCAAUAGCCAUGCGGGAAAAGAUGACUUCCACCUGGAUAAAGAAGAAAAUGAAUACCCUCGGGUCACUCUCGUUACCGGACGGCCGACGGCCGUUGUCCGCAGGCAGAAAAGCAGCAACAAACUUGCCUCUACAAAAUUCGUUGCUGCACAAAGCUGCCCUACGACAAUUUCACGUGGCCAAACUAACUGGGUUUUCUACUCGGUCGGAACGCAUUGCUACCUACGUUUUUAUACGGCCGCAAGUGAGAAGGCAUCCGAAUUCAGUUCCACUUUUUCGACCUGGAGUCGUCACCGUCGGGUAUAAUUUUAUUAGGAUCUUUUAUUGAUUUGGAUCUGAUUGCCAUUGUUCAAAUCGAUUUAUCUACUAAGGGGACGGCGGAUUUAUUUCCUGUCGGGCAUUUCGUUUGUAUGUAUGUCCUUCCAAUUUGAUUUGAUUUACGUGCCCCCAUUAGCGAAAUUUCACAACAGAAAUAAAUGAAAUAUC